CCGCCUAACCUCACUCACCAAUAUCCUGUCUCUCCGGCGCUGCAGGUUCCACAGAGCACGGAGAGGCAGAAGCAUUAAAGGUACACAAACACUCAUUUCCUCCGCCGCCCGGGAGAUCAUAUCGACGGCGCCUUUGUUUUAAUGCCAGAAAUAUGAAAUGUUGACAUGACUAAGCACACCGCUGCUGGGCAAUAACCCUCUGCCCUCCGACCUCCGAUCUCCUCGCCCUCCUGUUCGCCGCCUGUCCCCGACACCGAGAACUUGCCUGAUCCCCUGAAUCCAGACGAAUGACUCCGCACUUGGGUCCUGUCAUCCCGGUUCUCUCUCGGCCUCGUAUGACAUGCUCUGUUGGCACCAAUGAUCGCAGCACCCGUCCAUUCGACGUUCGUGGUCUUGAGGCCUUCUCGGAAGGUGGAACACCACGUUUCCGGCGGUCGACCCUGUCUGCGCUUCCCCUUCGGCGGCGCCCAUCGCAUCGCCACCGUUGGAAAUCAAACACAAGUAUGUGCUUAAUGUUACUUAAUGUUAAAUGAGCUGCAUCAGAUGCAUCAGAUUUAAAGCUCUUUUUUCCAACAGGUAAUUUCAACCGAGACACCUGCGAAAAAAUUUCCUCUCUGGCAUCAGUUUUUCUAACAUUACGUGCGGGACAAGUUGGCGUAGCUGAAGUACUUCCACGCUAUAAACAUUUAGAUGAUUGCAUAUCUUUACUAACUAAACGGAUUUUCUUUUCCGAGCCAAAAAUAUUUAUUUAGUGUUAAGACAAGGAUUCUGAAGCUGAACCUUAGCCAAGAAUUUUGCUUCUACUAACUCGAUUUUAAACAUAGACUGCGCCAUAAAACUCUUCACAGGCCCGCUUGUAGCGUAGCUUAGGCGUGCUCUAGCUCGGGGGGGGCUGUUCGACACGCUACCGUGCAACCCUUCCUGCGGAAAUGCUCUACGGCAAGAAACUGCUAGGUUAGGACCCCCAAGGUCGCGUUCCCUCAGCAAAGUCGUCAGGUUGACGCCGCGCAAUGACAUCGUGCUCGUCGCUAAAGGGCGGUUCGAAUGCUGAUACUUACAGGUAAACCGUAGUGUUUUCCUGCAGGUGCUGCAAGGGUCUCCACGUUGCACAUUUCAUUCUACCCCUGUGGGUGUUAGCCUGGCUGUUGGCCAUCACAUCUAAGCAAAAUGUCUUGGUUAAUCUCCUACAGCUCCUCCCUUUUCAGUUGUUAGAACUGUGCCGCUUACCGUUGACCAUUUACACUC